rnacentral:rRNA from 1 species
GCAGUAGCCGCGGUAAUACGUAGGGUGCAAGCGUUAAUCGGAAUUACUGGGCGUAAAGCGUGCGCAGGCGGUUCGUUAAGACAGAUGUGGAAUCCCCGGGCUUAACCUGGGAACUGCAUUUGUGACUGGCGAGCUAGAGUAUGGCAGAGGGGGGUAGAAUUCCACGUGUAGCAGUGAAAUGCGUAGAGAUGUGGAGGAAUACCGAUGGCGAAGGCAGCCCCCUGGGCCAAUACUGACGCUCAUGCACGAAAGCGUGGGGAGCAAACAGGAUUAGAGACCCGCGUAGUCCCUGUCUCUUAUAC